rnacentral:rRNA from 1 species
GUGGGGAAUUUUGGACAAUGGGCGCAAGCCUGAUCCAGCAAUGCCGCGUGCAGGAAGAAGGCCUUCGGGUUGUAAACUGCUUUUGUACGGAACGAAACGGUCCGGGUUAAUACCCUGGGCUAAUGACGGUACCGUAAGAAUAAGCACCGGCUAACUACGUGCCAGCAGCCGCGGUAAUACGUAGGGUGCGAGCGUUAAUCGGAAUUACUGGGCGUAAAGCGUGCGCAGGCGGUGCUGUAAGACAGGCGUGAAAUCCCCGGGCUCAACCUGGGAAUUGCGCUUGUGACUGCAGUGCUGGAAUGCGGCAGAGGGGGAUGGAAUUCCGCGUGUAGCAGUGAAAUGCGUAGAUAUGCGGAGGAACACCGAUGGCGAAGGCAAUCCCCUGGGCCUGCACUGACGCUCAUGCACGAAAGCGUGGGGAGCAAACAGGAUUAGAUACCCGAGUAGUCC